rnacentral:rRNA from 1 species
AUUGAACGCUGGCGGCAGGCCUAACACAUGCAAGUCGAACGAGUGGCGGACGGGUGAGUAAUGUCUGGGAAACUGCCCGAUGGAGGGGGAUAACUACUGGAAACGGUAGCUAAUACCGCAUACCAUCGGAUGUGCCCAGACGGGAUUAGCUUGUAGGUGGGGUAACGGCUCACCUAGGCGACGAUCCCUAGCGGGUCUGAGAGGAUGAACGGCCACACGGGAACUGAGACACGGUCCAGCCUCCUACGGGAGGAAGGAGUGGGGAAUAUUGGACAAUGGGCGAAAGCCUGAUGCAGCCAUGCCGCGUGGAUGAGGAGGGCCUUCGGGUUGUAAAGUACUUUAAGCGAGGAGGCGUUACCCGCAGAAGAAGCACCGGCUAACUCCGUGCCAGCAGCCGCGGUAAUAC